rnacentral:rRNA from 1 species
UACGUAGGGCGCAAGCGUUAUCCGGAAUUAUUGGGCGUAAAGAGCUCGUAGGCGGUUUGUCGCGUCUGCCGUGAAAGUCCGGGGCUCAACUCCGGAUCUGCGGUGGGUACGGGCAGACUUGAGUCCGGUAGGGGACCACGGAAUUCCUGGUGUAGCGGUGAAAUGCGCAGAUAUCAGGAGGAACACCGGUGGCGAAGGCGGUGGUCUGGGCCGGAACUGACGCUGAGGAGCGAAAGCGUGGGGAGCAAACAGG